AUGUUCACCAACUGUUGACUGUUCUCAGCCAACUAUAAAGAUACCGGGAUAUUCUAUCUACUAUUCAGUGCAUGAGCAGGGAUAGUGGGUCCAGAUUUAAGCCUCCUUAUUCAAGCUGAACUGGGCCAACCAGGUACUCUUUUAGGAGAUGAUCAAAUUUAUAAUGUCAUCAUUACAGCUCAUGCAUUUGUCAUAAUUUUCUUUAUAGUAAUGCCAAUUAUAAUUGGAGGCUUCGGCAACUGAUUAGUUCCUCUGAUAAUUGCCCCCCCAAUAUAGCAUUUCCCUGCAUAAAUAGUAGGAGUUUCCGACUCCUCUCACCCUCUUUCCUACUAUUAUUUGCAUCCGCUAUAGUAGAGGCAGGCGCUGGAACCGGCUGAACAGUCUACCCCCACCCCCCCACCCCUUAGCAGGAAAUCUAACACAUGCGGGAGCCUCUGUAGAUUUAACCAUCUUUUCACUCCAUUUGGCAGGUGUUUCUUCUAUUUUAGGGCUAUUAACUUUAUUACCACAAUUAUUAAUAUAAACCCCCAGCCAUGUCCCAAUAUCACACACUCCUCUUCAUCUGAUCAGUCUUAAUUACAGCAGUUCUUCUACUCCUUUCUCUCCCAGUCCUAGCUGCUGGCAUUACUAUAUUGUUAACUGACCGCAAUCUUAAUACUACUUUUUUUCGACCCAGCUAGUGGAGGUGAUCCUAUCUUAUAUCAGCAUUUAUUCUGAUUCUUCGGUCACCCCGAAGUCUCUCUCAUCUUACCAGGCUUCGGAUAAUUUCCCAUAUCAUAACAUAUUAUUCUGGAAAAAAAAAGAACCAUUUGGGUAUAUGGGCAUAGUAUGAGCCAUAAUAUCAAUUGGCUUCUUAGGGUUUAUCGUAUGGGCCCACCACAUAUUUACAGUAGGAAUAGAUGUAGAUACAUGAGCAUAUUUCACCUCUGCUACUAUAAUUAUUGCUAUUCCUACUGGUGUCAAAGUCUUUAGCUGGCUAGCUACACUUCACAGCAGUAGUAUCAAAUGAUCCCCCACAAUGCUCUGAGCCCUGGGAUUUAUUUUCCUUUUUACAACAGGAGGCCUAACCGGCAUCGUACUAGCCAAUUCAUCACUGGAUAUUGUACUACAUGAUAUUAUGCUGUAGCCCAUUUCCAUUAUGUCUUAUCAAAAGGAGCCAUAUUUGCCAUUAUGGGAGGCUUUGUUCACUGAUUCCCUCUAUUUUCAGGUUAUACUCAAUCAAAUCUAUGCUAAAACUCACUUUGCUAUUAUAUUUGUAAGUGCGAAUUUAACUUUUUUCCCACAACACUUCUUCGGCCUAUCUGGUAUGCCUUGACGUUACUCCAGUUAUCCUGACGUGUACACUGCAUGAAAUAUUAUUUCAUCCUAGGCUCAUUUAUUUCCCUAACAGCAGUAAUACUAAUAAUUUUCAUGGUCUGAGAAGCCUUCACUUCAAAAUGAAAAGUUCUAAUAGUUGAGCAACCAUCUACCCACUUAGAAUGACUAUAUGGCUGUCCACCAACCCAUCACACAUUCGAAGAACCAACCUACAUGAAGACCUAA
rnacentral:lncRNA from 1 species